rnacentral:rRNA from 1 species
UCCUUGGAAGCUGUCUCCGGAAGAUGAACCUGCGGCCCAUCAGCUAGUUGGUGAGGUAACGGCUCACCAAGGCGAAGACGGGUAGCUGGUCUGAGAGGAUGAUCAGCCACACUGGGACUGCGACACGGCCCAGACUCCUACGGGAGGCAGCAGUGGGGAAUAUUGGGCAAUGGGCGAAAGCCUGACCCAGCCACGCCGCGUGAGUGAUGAAGGCCUUCGGGUCGUAAAGCUCUGUGGGGAGGGACGAAUAAGCUUGUGGCUAAUAUCCACGAGCCCUGACGGUACCUCCUUAGCAAGCAC